CCUACGGGGGGCAGCAGUGGGGAAUAUUGGGCAAUGGGCGCAAGCCUGACCCAGCAACGCCGCGUGAAGGAAGAAGGCUUUCGGGUUGUAAACUUCGUUUCGGAGGGAGGAAGAAAGUGACGGUACCACAGGAAUAAGCCACGGCUAACUACGUGCCAGCAGCCGCGGUAAUACGUAGGGGGCAAGCGUUAUCCGCAUUUAUUGGGUGUAAAGGGCGGGGAGGCGGGAAAGCAAGUCAGAUGUGAAAACUCAGGGCUCAACCCUGAGCCUGCAUUUGAAACGGUUUUUCUUGAGUGCUGGAGAGGCCAUCGGAAUUCCUUGUGUAGCGGUUACAUGCGUAGAUAUCCGGAGGAACACCAGUGGCGAAGGCGGCUUGCUGGACCGUACCUGACGCUGAGGCGCGAAAGCGUGGGGAGCAAACAGGAUUAGAUACCCCUGUAGUC
rnacentral:rRNA from 1 species